rnacentral:lncRNA from 1 species
AUGAGGAAACUGAGGCAUGGAGCAGUUCAGCCCCCUGGACUGAGCUUUACUGGGCCACUGGGCCGCCGUGGGCUUCCAUUCGUGGUGACCGGCAGGGCUCCUUGUCCCCGGCCCCAGGUGACCAUGCAGAGGAAGAAAGCUCUGGGCCACUCUCAGAAUGUGGCUCAGACCCCGAGGUCACCGGGGUCUCGUCCCAUGCAUACCUGGCAGAGGAAGCUUGCUCUAGCAGGGCCUGCACAGGCCACGCCCUGGGCCCUGAACUCCCCGGGGGGACCCUGGUCUCUGCUCCACCGUGGCCCGGGACGCCCCUCCACACGGCCCCCGCCGUUUCGCCCACGUUCCCCCAGCGAAGGCACCUGAGUGGGGGCCCCGGCCACUUCCAAGGAGGCCUGAAUCCCCGGGCAAGCAAUGCGGGGUGCGGUCCGCUCACACCAGCUCCCCGAGAAGGCUCAGCAAACAGCACCGUCACUGUCGUCGGGACUGGCCUCCUGGCUCCUUCACACAUCCUCUCGAAUAACCAACGAGAAAGGAAUUGAUCCUCAAACUCCUUCCUCCAAGGUCAGCCUCCUUUCUGCCAAGAUCUAAGAAAAGAUUUAAUUUCAGUCACUUCUGCUGCCAGUUUCAAUUCUGCAAUGUCAUCUUCCGAGCCGCGAGUCUGAAUUACACCCUGUGCACCCUGGGCGCCGCAUCGUCUUGGUUGAGGCCAGCAGAAGACCCUCCGAGGGAGCCCCGUGUGCCGAGGAGAGGGGCGUCGGAGGCCUUUCACACACAGCUUUGUCUGUGCAGAAGGGGUCCGUCCCGAAUGAUCGACAAGCACAUCAUCACGUGCAAAACAACACAGAUUUGGGGGCCACACAGGCAGGAAGAUCCCGACAGCCAGACACACGGACGUGAACGAACGACCUCUGAGUACAAAAACUGUGUCAGGGACGUGGUCACGGGAGCGCCUGGAAAGGGAAGGGGCUCCUGGCGGCCCGAGAGUAGCAGGUGCUGCACGCGCUCGUGAACAGGAGCAGGACAGCCGGACUCCUGUGGGAUGUGCAUGCGGUGGCCGCUGCAGCCACGGAGCGUGACACGAGCCGGACACGAGCCUGAUGCAGCUUCGUGAUCUAAAACGACAGGGGAGGGGCGCCUGGGUGGCUCGGUCGGUUAAGCAUCCGACUUCGGCUCAGGUCAUGAUCUCGCGGUCCGUGAGUUCCAGCCCCGCGUCGGGCUCUGUGCUGACGGUUCAGAACCUGGAGCCUGCUUCAGAUUCUGUGUCUCCCUCUCUCUGCCCCUCCCCCGUUCAUGCUCUGUCUCUCUCUGUCUCAAAAAUAAAUAAACGUUAAAAAAAAAUUAAAAAAAAUAA